rnacentral:misc_RNA from 1 species
GAUGAAGAACGUAGCGAAAUGCGAUAAGUAAUGUGAAUUGCAGAAUUCAGUGAAUCAUCGAAUCUUUGAACGCACAUUGCGCCCGCCAGUAUUCUGGCGAGCGUGCCUGUUCGAGCGUCAUUUCAACCAUCAAGCCCCAGGCUUGUGUUGGAGCCCUGCGGCUGCCGCAGCCUCCCAAAACCAGUGGCGGGCUCGCUAUCACACCGAGUGCAGUAGUUUACUCUUCGCUCAGGGCGUGUGGCGGGUGCUAGCCGUGAAACCCCCAACUUCUCAAGGUUGACCUCGGAUCAGGUAGGAAUACCCGCUGAACUUAAGCAUAUCAAUAAGCGGAGGA